CCUACGGGAGGCAGCAGUGAGGAAUAUUGGUCAAUGGACGGGAGACUGAACCAGCCAUGCCGCGUGCGGGAGGAAGGCUCAGUGGAUUGUAAACUUCUUUUGUACGAGGACAAACACUGAGACGCGUCUCCGUCUGAGAGUAUCUUACGAAAAAGGAUCGGCUAACUCCGUGCCAGCAGCCGCGGUAAUACGGAGGUGUCAAGCGUUAUCCGGAUUUAUUGGGUGUAAGGGGUGGGUAGGCGGUUGGACAAGUUAGAGGUGAAAUCCCGAGGCUCAACUGCGGAAUUGCCUUUGAUACUGUUCGGCUAGAGAGUAGUUGCGGUAGGCGGAAUGUAUGGUGUAGCGGUGAAAUGCGUAGAGAUUAGAAAGAACACCGAUUGCGAAGGCAGCUUGCUGCAGCGGAACUGACGGUGAGGCUCGAAAGCGUGGGUAUCGAACAGGAUUAGAUACCCCAGUAGUC
rnacentral:rRNA from 1 species